rnacentral:ribozyme from 1 species
AAGAAAGAGAAGAAGGAAAAAGCUGCCGCUCAGUAAAUCAUUCCAAAAGCUUGGUUUUCGUUUUCUUUUUCUCUUUCCCUUUCCCUUUCCUUUUUGGGCUUCAUAAUCUAGGG